AAAAAGGUCUACAGCAUACCACCCUGAACGCGCCUGAUCUCAUCUGAUCUCAGAAGCUAAGCAGGGUCAGGCCUGGUUAGUACUUGGAUGGG
rnacentral:miRNA from 1 species